UAUGUUAUUGUUUAUAGGUGUUAUUAAGAAAAAUUCAAUUUGAUAUUUCCUGCAUCUCACUGUUUUAGAAUGAGUUUACAAGAUUUGUAGCCUUUACUUUUUUGACUUCAAAAAAUUGCUUGAUGGGUGUUUGAAGUUUUUAUAUAUUCUUGAAGAAGACUACUAUAAGUUAUCUUCUUUGUGUAGGAGGCUGUUUUGUGUGGUGUUGUUGUACAGUACCUAGACGUGACAUGAGCGUGAAAGGAGCUCAAGACUCAGUUUACUUUUUGUAAGGGCUAAAAUGACAAUCAGCCGCCUAGCGUCCGACUCAGGAACACCAUCGGCUAUAAUAGCCACGACUCUGAUGGUUGGCUGUUUAAGAGUAGACAUGAAGGAAGCAGCAACACUGCAUUGAGUUAAGAAAUUAAUGAUCAGACAGAGAGAUUUUCUUUCAAGAGAAGGCUCGUAAUACUACCAACCUUCUGAAAGAUGCAAAGCUUAUAAAUACUCCAGCCGUGGGAUGUGCAGCGCAGGAAGCUUCAACUCUGUAGAAAAUGGUAAAAUUGCUUAUAAAAAUGAAUUUUAGUACAAUAACGCAAAGUUUGCUACUAAACAAAAUCAGUAUGAAGAAGGUUUAUAAAGAAGGCGAAUUUCAAGUA